GACGAACGCUGGCGGCGUGCUUAACACAUGCAAGUCGAACGGAAAGGCCCUGCUUUUGUGGGGUGCUCGAGUGGCGAACGGGUGAGUAACACGUGAGUAACCUGCCCUUGACUUUGGGAUAACUUCAGGAAACUGGGGCUAAUACCGGAUAGGAGCUCCUGCUGCAUGGUGGGGGUUGGAAAGUUUCGGCGGUUGGGGAUGGACUCGCGGCUUAUCAGCUUGUUGGUGGGGUAGUGGCUUACCAAGGCUUUGACGGGUAGCCGGCCGGAGAGGGUGAACGGCCACAUUGGUACGGAGUUACGGCCCAGACACCUACGGGAGGCAGCAGUGGGGAAUAAUGCACAAGGGGCGGAAGCAUGAUGCAGCAACGCCGGGUGCGGGAAGACGGCCUGCGGGUUGUAAACCGCUUUCUCCUGUGACGAAGCGUGAGUGACGGUAAUGGGGAAAGAAGCACCGGCUAACUACGU
rnacentral:rRNA from 1 species